GUGGGGAAUAUUGCACAAUGGGCGAAAGCCUGAUGCAGCAACGCCGCGUGAGGGACGACGGCCUUCGGGUUGUAAACCUCUUUUAGUAGGGAAGAAGCGAAAGUGACGGUACCUUCAGAAAAAGCACCGGCUAACUACGUGCCAGCAGCCGCGGUAAUACGUAGGGUGCAAGCGUUAUCCGGAAUUAUUGGGCGUAAAGAGCUCGUAGGCGGUCUGUCGCGUCUGCUGUGAAAACUGGAGGCUCAACCUCCAGCCUGCAGUGGGUACGGGCAGACUAGAGUGCGGUAGGGGAGAUUGGAAUUCCUGGUGUAGCGGUGGAAUGCGCAGAUAUCAGGAGGAACACCGAUGGCGAAGGCAGAUCUCUGGGCCGUAACUGACGCUGAGGAGCGAAAGCGUGGGGAGCGAACAGGAUUAGAAACCCGGGUAGUCC
rnacentral:rRNA from 1 species